rnacentral:rRNA from 1 species
UACGGGGGGGGCAAGCGUUGUUCGGAAUUACUGGGCGUAAAGGGUGCGCAGGCGGCCGGGUGUGUCAGAUGUGAAAUCCCGAGGCUUAACCUCGGAACUGCGUCUGAAACUACUCGGCUAGAGUACUGGAGAGGGUAACGGAAUUCACGGUGUAGCAGUGAAAUGCGUAGAUAUCGUGAGGAACACCAGAGGCGAAGGCGGCAUCCUGGACUGGUCCUGACACUCAUGAGCGAAAGCGUGGGGAGCGAUCCGG